AGAAAGCCUUGGAACAGGAAGAGUAGGAUAGUGAUGGCGCUUCAGGGAGCCGGCGGAGAGUGCAAGUCCGGUGCGACAGCUAUGUGAAUGGGCCUGGGAGGCGCAGCCUGAGCCGAAAGGGGUAGGAGUUGCCGGAGAUCGCCGUUACCGAUGAUGAGCUGGACCUUGUGUCAAGUAGGGUGGUACCGCGGAAAGUGAUCCUUUCGUCCCUUUG
rnacentral:ncRNA from 1 species